AUGGAAAGUACUUUGAAAAGAGAGUGAAAAGAACUUGAAACCGUCACGGGGGAAGCGAAUUGCGUGAGUGAUGGUGUCGCUUGUUCAGCACCCCUUUUUUGCGGGCGUGUAUUCUGGCGGCACCUUGUCGUUGUGGCUGGCUGGCGUGUGAUUUUGACACGCUCGGCUGGUGAGGGCUCCCUUUUUUUUAGGUGAGGACAACGACGAAAUGACGCAAUACGACCCGUCUUGAAACACGGACCAAGGAGUCUAGCACGGCUGCGAGUCGAAGGGUGUAAAACCCAAGGGCGCAGUGAAAGCGAAAUUAUAAGCAAGUUGGGGAGGCGUUGCGUUUUUAACAAAAUGUCCUACCUUGAGCACUUGUGCUGGGACCCGAAAGAUGGUGAACUAUGCCGGAGUAGGGCAAAGCCAGAGGAAACUCUGGUGGAGGCUCGUAGCGAUGCUGACGUGCAAAUCGCUCGUCGAACUUGGGUAUAGGGGCGAAAGACUAAUCGAACCAUCUAGUAGCUGGUUCCCUCCGAAGUUUCUCUCAGGAUAGCGGGCCGACAUUAUGUUGUUUUGUGC
rnacentral:rRNA from 1 species